CUGAUUGCAGAGAGACCCUGAGCCUUUCUGCCAUUAAAGAGAUAACAAGUCCUGUUUAUAUAGCUAUACCUUGAGGUCAAUAAGGCAGAUCUGAUGAUCUGAGCCAGUUAGAGUUGCUCUGUUCUUAGCCACUCCUUCAUUUAUCAAAUACUUAUUGAAAAUAUAUUUACUAUGUGCCAGACACUGUGGCAUAUGCUGGUAAUCUAUACCAUGAUGAACAGACAAAUACGGUCUCCAAUCUUGUGAAACUCACCUUCUAGUGUAGGAUAUAGACAAGUGAGCAGAAAAUUAUAAUAGAGUGUAAAUAGGAGAAAUUCAGAGUGCAGUGGGAUCCUGUGUAAAUAUUGCCUAAUCGGUGCCUAGAAGAAAUUUCUCAAAUGUCCACACACUUUUACUUUGAUCUCCUGGAGAUAACUCUGUGUGUCCUUCAUCACAAGAGGCCACAUAAAUCGCUGGAAUUGGAGAUAAGCAAGCCUAUUUUUCUUUGCUGGGAACACAGCAGAAAGUUCCUUCUCUGAUUAGGAGUUGAUAAUGUCAUAUUUCCAAAGGUCCAGUUAAUGUCCUGGGAGGACGAAGCCAUUCUAGUAUGACAGAUGUGUCCAAGUCACCUAGAAUGAAUAUUCUCUUGGGGGAGAAAAAAAAAAAAGGGUUUUUACAGAAAUGACAAAGGGAAGAGAGUCACCCUAACAAAGGUGCAGAAACUAAACUUGUGAUUUGUGUCAUCUCUUGGGUAUUUUAGAUGCUGGGACUGCCACAUCGCUGACGGGUGUUUCUGCCUUCCGUGGUGAGUGGAGAACUGUUUUCAGGGGUUAUUUCCCUAUAAGUGUAGUUUCAAUGUGGUAUUUGCUGUAAGUUACCUGUGAAUUACCCACUGUCUGUGGCCACAGUGGAAGCUGGGCACUAGCCCAGGCACCAUCAUCUGAGAGUCAGUCAGGGAAGUGAUGCUUCGAGUUUGGUGAGAAACAGGAACAAUAGUCUCAUGGGUGGUUACACACUCUUCAAACGGGAAAGCCUCAGAAGCAAGGAUGAAACUGGCCAUCAAUGUAGAGAAAGGCCCCUUAAUCACACUGCACAUCCCAGCGUCUACCUGGGACAGAAGCAUGCAUUUCCGUCCCUUGCACAGAGAACGUAUAGCCAGGGUGACCAUAUAAUUCAUUGUCCAAACUGGGAAACUUUUGCGAGUGAAAAGGAGGCUAAAAAUAGUUAAGUGUCACUAAAUGAUUGAUAACAACGUUAACUAAACUGUCUGUGUAAACCAGGACAUAUGGUCAUUCUCCUUAGAGCAGAUGCUGUCCUUGUCUCCUGUGAGGAUAACUGGCUGCCAUUAUAGUUAGAAUGUGUUUUUCCAAGGGUCAUCAGUACAGUGCAGUCACCUCUGUGCUCACACGGGAGGUGUUUGAUUGCUCGCUUGCUUGUUUGUUUGGAUAUCAUAGAUUGGGAUUGAGGUUGGGAUUGGCUAUAACAAUGGCUCCUUGAUAUAAAAGAAAUUGAAAUUUUGUCAGAAAAAAAACUCUCCAAAAAGUUAUGUAGAGGGGACUGCCCUGGUGGUGCAGUGGUUAAGAAUCCACCUGCCAAUGCAGGGGACACGGGUUCAAGCCCUGGUCCUGGAAGACUCCACAUGCCGUAGAGCAACUAAGCCCGUGCACCACAACUAUUGAGCCUGCGCUCUAGAGCCCGUGCUCCGCAACAAGAGAAGCCAUCGCAGUGAGAAGCCCGCGCACCGCAACGAAGAGUAGCCGCAGCCAAUAAAAAAAAAAAAAAAUUAUAUAUAACAUAACCAUAGUUCUCCAUCUAUAAAUCAAUUCCAUACCAGCCUCAGAAAAAGGAGGAGGAAGGAGAAAAAGGGAGAGAGAGAAAUGCAAAGGAGUAGAUUUCUAUUCGAUCUUAUCUUUGAUUUUUUCUUUUUCCUACCCUCUUAGUUCUCUGGCUGAAGGCGGUAUUAUAAGAGGCUUAUAACUUUAACAAAUGAGUUAAGCAUAAGUUUUCAUAGUUGAGUGUAACUCCCUUUGAGAGUUUCUGAAUAUUAAAACAACCGAUUUCUUUUCCUUCUCUUUUAUAGGAAAAAAAUGCACAUUUUUAAAGUGAGACAAGACUCCCCAAAGCAAAGUAAGUCAUUGCUUUCACAUCAUUUUUACUUUUGACAGACUUAGGUUUCCAAGCUGCCCCUUCCCUCUGCUCCCAAAGCUCCUUGGGCGUAUUUCUAGUAUAACACUCACACAUUUGCUGCAAUUUGUUCAAUUGCAAGUCUCUUUUUCUCCACUAAAUUGGGAGCUCAUUGAGGCAAGAAUGGGCUUAUCGAACUCCAUAGCCUUCUGUUAUUUCCCGAGGUCUGCAGGCUGAAGGAGUUAAAAGGGAACAAUAAAAGCAAAAGGUGGCGGUGUGAGGCACAUGUAAGGAACUGCAAUGAGGCCAGUGUGGACACAGAGAGCACAGAGGAGGGGCAGGGCCUUGGGGUCAAGUUUAGGGUUAGGGUUUUUGUCUUGAGAGCUACAGGAGGCACUGAAAGGCUUUAAGCAAGGGCCAAGUAUGACCACAUUUGCAUUAAAGACAUCACCCAGUUUGCUGUGCAGAGAACAGAUUAUAGGAAGGAGUGACAAGAGCGGAUGCUGGAAGACCACUUAGGAGGCUGAUGCAAUGGUCUCUGGUGACUGAACAGGGCUAAAGUUAAGGAAAGAAAAGCAUUUGAAGGAGAGAGUGGUGAAGAGUGUCACGUGUAAGGGGAGAAGCAAAGGAAGUACAGGCCUGAGGACAGGCCACAACGUUUCUAAAGAAGAAAAACAAAUGAGUUUUGCCUUUGCCUUCCUGGGUUUAAAGAGGAGAGCCUGGUUCAUUCACUCUGACUCUGAAAAACGAGCCCUACUGGUGUGUAAAAAUAUCAUACAGCCCUCCCACCCCUAGACUUUUCACCCAGGGGAAUUGUGGGCGCAGGAAACCCCAAUCUGCAUCACAGCGAAACAGAAAUAGAAAUAGACCUCUAAUGGUAGAAAUAAGACCUCUAAUGCCGAAACUCACAGACCCUUCUAGUUUUUUUUUAAAUUUUAUUGAAGUUAUUGACAUAUAACGUUACACUAGUUUCAGGUGCACAACGUAGUGAUUUGAUAUAUAUACCAUAUAUAUCACAUAUAUAUAAUAUACCAUCACCAUACAAAAUUAUUAUAGUACUAUUCACAAUAUUCCCUAUACUGCAUACUAUGUUCUCAUGACUUAUUUAUUUUAUAACUGGAUGUUUGUACCUCUUAAUCUCCGUCAACUAUUAACUCACACCCCUGCCCCCUCCCCUCUGGUAACCACCAGUUUCUCCUCAGUAUCUAUGAGUCUGUUUCUGUUUUGUUAUGUUUGUUCGUUUGUUUUGCUUUUUAGAUUCUACAUAUAAGUGCAAUCAUAUGAUAUCUGUCUUUCUCUGUCUGACUUAUUUCACUCAGCAUAAUACCCUCUAGAUUCAUCCAUGUUGCUGCAAAUGGCAAGAUUUCAUUCUCUUUAUGGCUGAGUAAUAUUUCAUUGUAUAUAUAUAUACCACAUCUUCUUUACCCAUUCAUCUACUGAGGGACACUUAGGUUGCUUCCCUGUAUUGGCUGUUGUAAGUAAUGCUGCAAUGAACAUUGGGGUGCAUAUAUCUUUUCAAAUUCGUUCUUUUGUUUUCUUCAGAUCAAUACUCAGAAGUGGAAUUGCUGGAUCGUAUGGUAGUUGUAUAUUUAAUUUUUUGAGGAAACUCCACACUGUUUUCCAUAGAGGUUGAAGCAUUUUACAGUCCCACCAACAGUGCAAAAAAUUCCCAUUUCUCCACAUCCUUGACAACAGUUGUUAUUUGUUGUCUUUUUAAUAAUAUCCAGUAUAGUAGUAGAGUAUUUGUACCAUAGUACUACUAUAGUAAUAGCAUACUACAGUAGUGUAAUAUAGUUUGAAAUCACCAAGCAUGAUACCUCCAGCUUUGCUUUGCUUUUCUCAAGACUGCUCAGCUCUUCUGCAUCUUUUGAGGUUUCAUACCAACUUUAGGAUCAUUUAUUCAAGUUCUGUGAAAAACAGUAUUAGUUUUUCAAAUCCAUGAGCACAGUAUAUCUUUCCAAUUUUUGUGCAUGGUCUUCAGUUUCUUUCAUCUAUGUCUCAUAGUUUUCAGAGUACAAGUCUUUUACCUCCUGGGUUAGAUUUAUUCUAGGUAUUUUAUUCUUUUUGAUACAAUUGUACAUAGGAUUGUUUUCUUGAUUUCUCUUUCUGAUAGUUUGUUACUAAUGUAUAGAAAUGCAACAGAUUUCUGUAUGUUAAUUUUGUAUCCUGCAACUUUACUGAAUUUAUUAGUUCUAAUAGUUUUUUUUUUUUUUUUUUUUGCGGUACGCGGGCCUCUCACUGUUGUGGCCUCUCCCGUUGCGGAGCACAGGCUCCGGACGCACAGGCUCAGCGGCCACGGCUCAUGGGCCCAGCCGCUCCACGGCAUGUGGGACCUUCCCGGACCGGGGCACGAACCCGUGAGCCCUGCAUCGGUAGGCGGACUCUCAACCACUGCGCCACCAGGGAAGCCCUAGGGUUUUCUAUAUAUAGUAUUAUAUCAUCUGCAAAGAGUGAUAGUUUUACUUUUUCCCUUCUAAUUUGCAUGACCUUUAUCUCUUUUUCUUGUCUGGUUGCUGAGGCUAGACUUCCAAUAUUAUGUUGAAUAAAAGUGGUAAGUGUUGGGCAUACUUGUCUUGUUUCUGAUCUUAAAGGAAAAGAUUUCAGCUUCUCAUCAAGCAUGAUGUUGCUGUGAGCUUGAUGUAUAUGGCCUUUAUGCUGAGGUAUAUUCCCUCUAUAUUCAGUUUGUUGAGAGUUUUUAUCAUAAAUAGAUGUUAACUUUUGUCAAAUGCUUUGUCUGCAUCUAUUGAGGUGAUCAUAUGAUAUUUAUCCUUCAUUUUGUUAAUGUGGUCUAUCACAUUGAUUGAUUUGUGGAUAUUGAAUUAUCCUUGCAUCCCUGGAAUAAAAUUCUACUUGACCACAGUGUAUGAUCCUUUUGAUGUAUUGUUGAAUUUGGUUUGUUAAUAUUUUGUUGAGGAUUUUUGCAUCUCAGUUCAUCAGGGAUAUUGGCCUGUACCUUUUUUUUUUUCUGUGGUGUCUGUCUGGUUUUGGUAUCAGGGUAAUGCAGGCCUUGUAAAAUGAGCGUGGAAGCAUUCAAUAUUUUAGAAGAGUUUGAGAAGACUAGGUAUUAACUCUUCUUUAAAUGUUUGGUAGAAUUCACCUGUGAAGCCGUUUCACCCCAACCUUUUGUUUGUUGGGAGUUUUUUGAUUACUGAUUCUACUGAUACUAGUAAUUGGUCUGUUCAUUUUUUCUAUUUCUUUCUGAAUCAGUCUUGGAAAAUUGGAUGUUUCUAGGAAUUAUCCAUCUCUUCUAGAUUGUCCAGUUUGUUGGCUUACUUGUAGUUGUCUCUUGUGAUUGUUUGUGUGUGUCUCUCUCUCUCUCUCUCUCUCUCUAUAUAUAUAUAUAUAUAUAUAUCGUUAGUUUUAAGCUGAUAGUUACUUGUUUGAAUGCAUCCUAAAAGCACUACAUUUUUACUGCUCCCCACCUAUGUUUAUGUUAUUGUCAUCAUAUUUCACAUUUUUAUUCUGUGUAUCCCUUAACUUCUUUAUUGUAGUUACAGUCGAUUUUACUACUUUGGUCUUUUAACCUUCAUACUAGCUUCUUAAGCGGCUGUUCCACUGGCUUUAAUAUAUAUUUGCCUUUACCAGUGAGAUAUUUUCUUUCGUAUAGUGUCUUAUUUUUAGUUAUAAUCUUUUCUUUUCUGCUUAAAGAAGACUCUUAAACAUUUCCUGUAAGGCCAGUCUAGUGGUGAUAAACUCCUUUAGUUUUUGCUUGUCUGGGAAAUUUUACCUCUCCUUCAAUUCUGAAUAAUAACCUUGCUGGGUAGAGUUUUCUUGGGUUGUUCAGGUUUUUCCUUUCAGCACUUUAAAUAUAUCAUGCCACUCCCCUCUGGCCUGCAAAGUUUCUGCUAAAAAAUCAGCUCAUAGUCUUAUAAGAGCUCCCUUGAUAUGACUUGUUUUUUUCUUGCUGCCUUUUAUCUCUUUAACUUUUGCCAUUUUAAUUAUGAUAUGUCUUGGUGUGGAUCUCUUUGGGUUCAUCUUGUUGCUUCCUGGACAUGGAUAUCUGUUUCCUUCCCCAGAUUAGGGAAGUUUUCAGCCAUUAUUUUUUUAAAUACAUUUUCUGCCUCUUUCUCUCACUCUUCUCCUUCAGGGACCCCUAUAAUGUGAAUGUUAGUUUGCUUGAUGUUUUUCCCAGAGAUUCCUUAAAACUAUCCUCAUUUUAAAAAAUUCUUUUUCCCUGUUGCUGUUCUGAUUGGGUGAUUUCCACUCUUCGGUCUUCCGAUCACUGAUCCUUUCCUCUGUAUCAUCUAAUCUGUUGUUGAUUCCCUCUAGUGUAUUUUUCAUUCCAGUCAUAGUAUUCUUCAUCUCCGAUUGGUUUUCUUUCUUACAUUUUCUAAUUCCCUCUGGAGGUUUUCACUGUGUUCCUCCAUUCUUCUCCUGAGUUUGUCAGCAUCUUUAUGAUCAUUAUUUUGAACUCUAUCAGGUAAAUGACUUAUCUUCAUUUCAUUAGGGUUUGUACCUGGGGGGUGAUUUUGUUCUAUCACUUGGAACAUUCCUCUGUCUCCUCAUUUUGUUUGAUUUCCUGUGCUUGUUUCUAUGAAUUAGUCAAAACAGCUACCUCUUCCAGUCUUGCAGUCAUGGCCUUGUGCAGGAGUAGCCUCUGUGUAGACUGUAUGUGCUGGGCAGCUUUGGUGGGAUGGCUGGAGCUGGGGUAGGAGUUGGGGGUGGAGAGCCAGAGUGCACCCCCCUGGUGUUGCUUUUGGGGGGUGGCUGGAGCUUCUGUGGGCCUGGAGCCUGCAGGGGCAAUCUUGGCAGCCUGGCUGAAGCACCUGGACUAUGUUCCCAUCUGUGCUAUCAAGGUGAAGGAGGAAUGCAAAAAAUGGUGCUCUCCAGUGCCUUUGAACGUGAGGAGUGUGCCAGUAGUUGCCUGCCCAUUUGGCAGAUGCUCUAGGGGUAGUAAAUGGAUUUCUUCACACAGAGUCUAGGUGCCUUUUAAACCGCUAUUCUUAUUGCUGUGCCCCCCCGGGGGUGGAGGCAAAUGUACACAUGGGCCCCUCAGUGAUACCCCUCCUUCCUGCAGGUUGCUGUAUCAAGGACGGGGUUCCUGUCCAUACCAUCUCUCCUACCCAUCUUUGUUUGGUCCUUCUGUCAUUUAUUGUGCAAAGCUGUUCAGUCAGCCCUCAGUUCUUCUUCAGAAAGAAUUGCUCUAUAUGUAGGUGUAGAUUUGGUGUGUCCAUGGGAGGUGCUGAUUGUAGGGUCUUCCUAAGCCACCAUCUUGGAUCCCCACAGACCCUUUUCUUGCAGUGAUAGUCACAGAAGUCCUAGAUAGCCAGGGGAAUUUACAGAGAUGCGAGAAUCUGGAAUGUCAGUACUGAGGGAAUAUAAAUCUUUACACAGCAAGGUGGCCUGCAUCAGCACAACCACCUCCCAAGUAGGGUGAUAUCCUGAGGCUUCUUUGUGAAUUCUCAUGUUUGCUUAUUCAGCUAGUGUGUUUGCCUCUUUACUGAGUGGCCAGAGCCAGCUGGUUUUAAGUACACUGGCUUUUGAAAAAUUGGUCUGCUUAUGUUUGUUUCUGCCAGCAGUCUCAAAACUGGGAAUGUUCAGUUUAAGAGUUUCUUUCUCUGUAAAGCUUUCCCUGAGCACCAGCUUCCACACUGUCAUCAUCCCCUGUCACCUACAGUAGAAACGACAGCUUUCCUCUGCAUUGUGGAUCUCCCUUAGGUCCUUGUCUGCCUCCUAUGCUUGCCUGUGAGCCCCUUGAGGACAGGGACUGUCUGAUUCUUCUUUGUCUCUCCAGUUCCUGGUACAGGGUAGACAUGCAACAAAUUUUAGGGAAGGAAGGACAGAGAAGGAAAGGAGUGAGGAAGGGAGGGAAGUGUGAUUUCCUAUCCAAAGACCCACUGAAUGUGUUUCCGUCCACUCAGCAUCUCAGCACAGCUCUGGCUGUUUCUUGUCUGGAUGGCCCUGUCACUCCCCAGGGAGCUGAAGAUCAGGCUAGCCUGAGGAAGACUACCCCUGCUGUUCCUUGAUUCUCUGGUUGCUUCUCUUUCAGUGUUCCUCUCCUCCCCUCCCAGAAAUCUCCCCAUGACCUGAAAUUCAUUAAGUGUGUUUUCUUUCUCCAGGUGAAGAAACAUCAUCUGCUCCCAUCCAGGAGAAUGCUGACCAGGGCUCCUCGGAGGAUCUGUGCUACACCCUCAUCAACCACAGCGUCCUCGGGAAAAGGCCAUCAGGGAACGCUGCUGAGGAGUG